rnacentral:lncRNA from 1 species
CAUGAACGUUCGCCCCCCCUCCCAAAAAAAAAGUAAAAAAGAUUUAAUUUUUUAUGAACUAUCUUAAUUUCUUAUUUGCUUAAUUAUUUAUCUAUUUUAAGGCAUAAUAUAGUUUGCUAUUUUUUUUUACUUAAUUAGUUUAAUUUUGUAGCUCUUUAUUCUAAUAUUCUUAAGAAAUAUGAAUAUUUAUGCUAACAGCAUAAAUCUUGAGAGAAAAUAAAUUUAAUUUAAUAGCCGAAUUUUUGAUCCCGAAUUUUUAAUUGGUGAACGUCUAAUAUCCGUAUAAAUCACGUAUCCGAAUAAUUGACAUAUCCGUUUUUUAGCCAUAUUUUUCAACGAAUUUAAAAAUUAGAAAACGAAUUUUAUCCAAAUUAUAUCCGUACCGAAUUUUUGCCGAAUCCAAAUUAACAAACUAUGGUGUUGAUAGAU